CUACGGGACGCUGCAGUGAGGAAUAUUGCACAAUGGGGGGAACCCUGAUCCAGCAACGCCGCGUGGAGGAUGACGCAUUUCGGUGUGUAAACCCCUUUUAUAUGUCAAGAAAAUGACGGUAGCAUAUGAAUAAGCACCGGCUAACUCCGUGCCAGCAGCCGCGGUAAUACGGAGGGUGCAAGCGUUACUCGGAAUCACUGGGCGUAAAGGACGCGUAGGCGGGUUGGAAAGUCAGGUGUGAAAUCCUAGAGCUUAACUGUAGAACUGCACUUGAAACUUCUAAUCUAGAGUAUGGGAGAGGGGGAUGGAAUUAGUGGUGUAGGGGUAAAAUCCGUAGAUAUCACUAGGAAUACCUAAAGCGAAGGCGAUCUCCUGGAACAUUACUGACGCUAAGGCGUGAAAGCGUGGGGAGCAAACAGGAUUAGAUACCCCCGUAGUC
rnacentral:rRNA from 1 species